rnacentral:rRNA from 1 species
GGAUUAGAUACCCUGGUAGUCCACGCCGUAAACGAUGGUCACUAGCUGUUUGGAAUUCGUUCUGAGUGGCUAAGCGAAAGUGAUAAGUGACCCACCUGGGGAGUACGAUCGCAAGAUUGAAACUCAAAGGAAUUGACGGGGGCCCGCACAAGCGGUGGAGCAUGUGGUUUAAUUCGAUGAUACGCGAGGAACCUUACCAGGGCUUAAAUGUGGAUUGACAGGUUUAGAGAUAGACUUUUCUUCGGACAAUUCACAAGGUGCUGCAUGGUUGUCGUCAGCUCGUGCUG